rnacentral:rRNA from 1 species
AGAGUUUGAUCCUGGCUCAGGAUGAACGCUAGCGACAGGCUUAACACAUGCAAGUCGAGGGGCAGCACGGUGUAGCGAUACACUGGUGGCGACCGGCGCACGGGUGAGUAACACGUGUGCAACCAACCCCGUACCGGGAGAUAACCCGCGGAAACGUGGACUAACAUCCCAUGAGACUCUAGAGCCGCAUGGCUUUGGAUUUAAAAUUCCGGUGGUACGGGACGGGCACGCGCGACAUUAGGUAGUUGGCGGGGUAACGGCCCACCAAGCCGACGAUGUCUAGGGGUUCUGAGAGGAAGGUCCCCCACACUGGAACUGAGACACGGUCCAGACUCCUACGGGAGGCAGCAGUGAGGAAUAUUGGUCAAUGGACGCAAGUCUGAACCAGCCAUGCCGCGUGCAGGAUGACGGCUCUAUGAGUUGUAAACUGCUUUUGUACGAGGGUAAACGCAGAUACGUGUAUCUGUCUGAAAGUAUCGUACGAAUAAGGAUCGGCUAACUCCGUGCCAGCAGCCGCGGUAAUACGGAGGAUUCAAGCGUUAUCCGGAUUUAUUGGGUUUAAAGGGUGCGUAGGCGGUUUGAUAAGUUAGAGGUGAAAUUUCGGGGCUCAACCCUGAACGUGCCUCUAAUACUGUUGAGCUAGAGAGUAGUUGCGGUAGGCGGAAUGUAUGGUGUAGCGGUGAAAUGCUUAGAGAUCAUACAGAACACCGAUUGCGAAGGCAGCUUACCAAACUAUAUCUGACGUUGAGGCACGAAAGCGUGGGGAGCAAACAGGAUUAGAUACCCUGGUAGUCCACGCAGUAAACGAUGAUAACUCGUUGUCGGCGAUACACAGUCGGUGACUAAGCGAAAGCGAUAAGUUAUCCACCUGGGGAGUACGUUCGCAAGAAUGAAACUCAAAGGAAUUGACGGGGGCCCGCACAAGCGGAGGAACAUGUG